CCUUUAAAAAAGUGGCACUAAAUGUUUUUUUUUUCAGAUAGUUAGUAUUGAUUCUUGAACUUCAAAUACAGAUUUUGGAUUUAUAAGGCCGAAUUUUUCAUGUAUGGCUCAAUCAUUCUCGGUCUUGGCGUUUGUGCUAUUUUGACAAUGUGGUUGGUAAUCUGCAUCUUCAAUAUGAAACGACACUUUUGUCCAAAAAAGCCAAUACAAAGGUGUAAAUGGUGUAAUCGUCUCCAAAACGAACCAGUAAAGCGCCGAUCACCUGUAAAACUUCGACAAAGCUUCCCAUUGAAAGUGGCUUUUAACCUGCAACAACAAGAGAACGCAAAAGACAAAAAACAAUAUUGUGAACCAUGGGAAGCAACAAGUAGCAUGUGAAUUUCAGAAAAUGAAAUUGACGAUGACUAAUCAUCACUGUAGUGUAAAAUGAUGAAACAUACGGAAUAGUAAUGUA
rnacentral:lncRNA from 1 species